AUUGAACGCUGGCGGCGUGCUUAACACAUGCAAGUCGAGCGGUAACAGGUGUAGCAAUACAUGCUGACGAGCGGCGAACGGGUGAGUAAUGCUUCGGAAUCUUCCUCGUAGUGGGGAACAACCUGGGGAAACUCAGGCUAAUACCGCAUACGAACUACGGUUGAAAGCAGGGGAUCGCAAGACCUUGCGCUAUGAGAUGAGCCGAAGUCGGAUUAGCUAGUUGGUGAGGUAAAGGCUCACCAAGGCGACGAUCCGUAGCUGGCCUGAGAGGACGACCAGCCACACUGGGACUGAGACACGGCCCAGACUCCUACGGGAGGCAGCAGUGGGGAAUAUUGGACAAUGGGCGCAAGCCUGAUCCAGCGACGCCGCGUGUGUGAAGAAGGCCUGCGGGUUGUAAAGCACUUUUAGUUGGGGAGUGAAAGACCAAGGGCGUAAUAACCCUUUCGGUCUUGACCUAACCCAAACGAAAAAGACACCGGCGUAACUACUGUGCCACG
rnacentral:rRNA from 1 species